rnacentral:rRNA from 1 species
AUUGAACGCUGGCGGCAUGCCUUACACAUGCAAGUCGAACGGUAACGGGCCUUCGGGUGCCGCCGAGUGGAGCACGGGUGUGUAAUACAUCGGAACGUGCCCGAUCGUGGGGGAUAACGAGGCGAAAGCUUUGCUAAUACUGCAUACGACCUAUGGAUGCAAGCAGGGCACCGCAAGGCCUUGCUGGGGCGGAGCGGCCGAUGGCAGAUUAGGUAGUUGGCGGGAUAAAAGCUCACCAAGCCGACGAUCUGUAGCUGGGCUGAGAGGAUGAUCAGCCACACUGGGACUGAGACACGGCCCAGACUCCUACGGGAGGCAGCGGCGGGGAAUUUUGGACAAUGGGCGCAAGCCUGAUCCAGCCAUGCCGCGUGCAGGAUGAAGGCCUUCGGGUUGUAAACUGCUGUUGUACGGAACGAAAAGCCUUCUUUUAAUACAGGAGGGUCAUGACGGUACCGGAAGAAUAAGCACCGGCUAACUACGUG